rnacentral:rRNA from 1 species
UACGUAGGUGGCAAGCGUUGUCCGGAAUUAUUGGGCGUAAAGCGCGCGCAGGCGGUCCUUUAAGUCUGAUGUGAAAGCCCACGGCUCAACCGUGGAGGGUCAUUGGAAACUGGGGGACUUGAGUGCAGGAGAGAAAAGUGGAAUUCCACGUGUAGCGGUGAAAUGCGUAGAUAUCUGGAGGAACACCGGUGGCGAAGGCGGCAUCCUGGACCGACAUUGACGCUGAGGCGCGAAAGCCAGGGGAGCAAACGGG